GACGGAGGGGGCUAGCGUUGUUCGGAAUGACUGGGGCGUAAAAGGGCGCGUAGGCGGUUUUUUAAGUUGAGGCGUGAAAGCCCUGGGCUUAAACCCCACGGGAGGUGCGUUUCGAGACUGGAAGACUUGAGUACGAGAGAGGAAAGGUGGAAUUCCGUAGUGGUAGAGGUGAAAAUUCGUAGAUAUUAGGAAGAACACCAGAGGCGAAGGCGGCUUUCUGGGCUCCGUAACGUGACGCUGAGGC
rnacentral:rRNA from 1 species